rnacentral:tRNA from 1 species
UCCGGUAUAGUGUAGGGGUUAACAUAACCCGCUUUCAAAAAGUCUCGUUUCUUUCUCUCUUGAAAAUAACUUGCUUUUAGAGCCGGGUAGCCCCGGGUUCGAUUCCCGGUACCGGAA